rnacentral:rRNA from 1 species
GACGGAGGAUGCAAGUGUUAUCCGGAAUCACUGGGCGUAAAGCGUCUGUAGGUUGUUUAAAAAGUCUGCAGUUAAAGGUUGAAGCUUAACUUCAAAAAUGCCGUAGAAACUUUUAAACUAGAGGAUGGUAGGGGUAGAGGGAAUUUCCAGUGGAGCGGUGAAAUGUGUAGAUAUUGGAAAAGACCACCGAUGGCGAAGGCACUCUACUGGGCCAUGACUGACAUGAGAGACGAAAGCUAGGGGAGCAAAUGGG